rfam:Crenarchaeota archaeon 13_1_40CM_3_53_5 13_1_40cm_3_scaffold_220, whole genome shotgun sequence.
GCCGCCGUAACGUAGCUUGGUAGCGUGCAGGCCUGAAAGACCCAACAACAGGUCUUGACCAAUGGAGCCUGAAGCGUGGGUUCGAAUCCCGCCGGCGGCC